rnacentral:rRNA from 1 species
GACGAACGCUGGCGGCGUGCCUAACACAUGCAAGUCGAGCGAUGAAGCUCCUUCGGGAGUGGAUUAGCGGCGGACGGGUGAGUAACACGUGGGCAACCUGCCCUCAGCUUUGGGAUAACUCCGGGAAACCGGGGCUAAUACCGGAUACGACCAUUCCCCGCAUGGGGUGGUGGUGGAAAGUUUUUCGGCUGGGGAUGGGCCCGCGGCCUAUCAGCUUGUUGGUGGGGUGAUGGCCUACCAAGGCGUCGACGGGUAGCCGGCCUGAGAGGGCGACCGGCCACACUGGGACUGAGACACGGCCCAGACUCCUACGGGAGGCAGCAGUGGGGAAUAUUGCGCAAUGGGCGAAAGCCUGACGCAGCGACGCCGCGUGAGGGAUGACGGCCUUCGGGUUGUAAACCUCUUUCAGCUCCGACGAAUUCAGACGGUAGGAGCAGAAGAAGCACCGGCCAACUACGUG